rnacentral:rRNA from 1 species
AGAGCGAACGCUGGCGGCAGGCCUAACACAUGCAAGUCGAGCGCCCCGCAAGGGGAGCGGCAGACGGGAGAGUAACACGUGGGAACGUACCCUUCAGUUCGGAACAACCCAGGGAAACUUGGGCUAAUACCGAAUACGUCCGUAAGGAGAAAGAUUUAUCGCUGAAGGAUCGGCCCGCGUCUGAUUAGCUUGUUGGUGAGGUAAUGGCUCACCAAGGCUACGAUCAGUAGCUGGUCUGAGAGGAUGAUCAGCCUCACUGGGACUGAGACACGGCCCAGACUCCUACGGGAGGCAGCAGUGGGGAAUAUUGGACAAUGGGCGCAAGCCUGAUCCAGCCAUGCCGCGUGGGUGAUGAAGGCCCUAGGGUUGUAAAGCCCUUUCGGCGGGGAAGAUAAUGACGGUACCCGUAGAAUAAGCCCCGGCUAACUUCGUGCCAGCAGCCGC